rnacentral:rRNA from 1 species
AUGCUGAAUGUUCACCUGCGAAUAGUUACGAGAAUAUGGAAUCUAGCCAAACGACAACUUGCAGCAGGCCAAGAAGUUGAUAUUUCAAGCAAGAAGAACAAAAGUGGUAGGAAGAGAAAAGAACUAGAUCUAUCGAGAACAUCCACAAUUCCUUUGAACAAAAGAAGAACAAUCCGUUAUCUAGCAAGGUGUUUAGGUGUGCCCCGAUCAACCCGUCAUGACAGCUUUCAAUUGCAAGAGCUGAAACGCAUCACAAGCACCAUGAAACCCACCCUCAAGCCACAAAACAAGAUAGCGAGACUAAAUUUCUGCCUAUCCAUGAUGGAUGAAAGAUGGAUAUCAAGUCCUUGGCCCAGUUUCAAGACAAUGACAAAUAUGGUCCACAUCGAUGAGAAAUGGUAUGACAUGACCCGAGUGAAGAGUAGCUACUACGUACUGCCUGGAGAAGAAGAACCAAAUCGAACUAUGCACAAUACUCAUAGCAUUGGGAAGGUAAUGUUUCUAAUAGUUGUGACCACACCUCGCUACAAUGAAGAUGGGGAGAUGACAUUAUAUGGAAAACUUGGCAUUUGGCCGUUCGUGGUACAAACCGAGGCACAACGAACAAGCUAG